rnacentral:misc_RNA from 1 species
GAUGAAGAACGUAGCGAAAUGCGAUAAGUAAUGUGAAUUGCAGAAUUCAGUGAAUCAUCGAAUCUUUGAACGCACAUUGCGCCCGCCAGUAUUCUGGCGGGCAUGCCUGUUCGAGCGUCAUUUCAACCAUCAAGCCCCAGGCUUGUGUUGGGGACCUGCGGCUGCCGCAGGCCCUGAAAACCAGUGGCGGGCUCGCUGUCACACCGGGCGUAGUAGAUUUUAUCUCGCUCAGGGCGUGCUGCGGGUUCCGGCCGUUAAAAAGCCUUUUUUACCCAAGGUUGACCUCGGAUCAGGUAGGAAGACCCGCUGAACUUAAGCAUAUCAAUAAGGGAGGA